rnacentral:tRNA from 1 species
GCGUUCGUAGCUCAGCUGGAUAGAGCGACGGACUUCGAAUCCGUAGGUCGCAGGUUCGAUUCCUGUCGGACGCAC